AACUCGUAGACCGUUUGGUGCUUUCUGUUAAAAAAAGUCUUUACCCACGAUUUCCAUGUAAAGUGAGUGAAUUUACUGAGGAUUAAUUGAAAAUAUCUUAUUCUGGGCAGGGUCGCACUUGUGCUCCUAUAUGCAGUUAAUGGAGAGCUGGAACUGCAGCUAAAACACAAUUAAUAUAUUUAUAGGGAAUAUUUAUUGGGCGGCUCAAAAAGCAGGAAAGCAGCUGGCAAGAGACUUUUUUAAUUUGAACAAUAAUUGUAGUUGCAGUAUUUAACUUAAUCCUGCAUC